rnacentral:rRNA from 1 species
UACCAGCAGCCCGAGUGGUCGGGACGUUUUAUUGGGCCUAAAGCAUCCGUAGCCGGUUCUACAAGUCUUCCGUUAAAUCCAGCUGCUUAACAGACUGGGCUGCGGAAGAUACGUAUGGAGCUAGGAGGCGGGAGAGGCAAGCGGUGAUCUCGGAUGGGUAGGGGUAAAAUCGUUGAUCCAUUGAAGACCACCAGUGGCGAAGGCGGCUUGCCAGAA